AGGGAGAAAUUGAAGUUUUCUCAGCAGAAGAGUCACUGAUGUGGGAAGAACGCCAUUGCCAUCAAAACCUCGUCUCGUAGCAAUGACUUGAGUCGUUGCUGCGUCGAUCGAAUGUCACGCCCUGCAAUAAGAGAUGGUGGUGUUGAGUGUGCUUCCAUUUCCAGUGACAGUGAAAGCUUCAUGGGAUACACGGCCAAGAACUAGUCCCAUUCCAUAUCACAGCAACUUGUCGAAGAACAGAAACCUAACAUGCUUCGUCCUCAAUUUCUAAAACUAAUAUAACAAUCACAACUUCUGCGAUCGAAGAAUUAACUGCUUCGGAGCUUCUGAGCUUGAAUGAUCGCUCUUCCCCAAGCUAUUUGCUCAGAGAAAUUAUCUGUUUCCUCCUCUAAAUAUGGAGGAAUACAAUGCUCGCGUGAUGGCGUAGUACGUUGUGAAGCAAAGUUGGCUAUUUCUACCUGACUAAUGUAAAACGCUUGGAGGAACUCAUGCUGAAAUUGAGUUUCUCAACCGGUGCGUAUACUCAACUGAUCCUGGAGGAAUCAAAUGGCUAUAAUUGCAGUUGCUGCAUGGUGUUUUCAAGUCCCUGGGUGUGCGUUCAAUGUUUGGUGUGUCCUUUAUACUCUGAAGCUGCAUCAGUACUUGUGUGUCACGGCAGGAGUGCGUAGUUCUUGGAUUGUGUCCUUUAUACUCUGAAGCUGCAUCAGUACUUGUGUGUCACGGCAGGAGUGCGUAGUUCUUGGAUUGUUAAGGGCCUGAGGGUUUGUAUAUGGGCCAGGCCUGGACAUUGUAUAUCCUAGUAGUCUGUUUCUUGUGUCAGAUUUCUUCCUGAAUUUUAGAUUAUAGCAAUUUGCGAGAACUGCUUUUUCAAGUCACUAA